AGUUUGAUCAUGGCUCAGAUUGAACGCGCUGGCGGGAUGCUUACAUGCAAGUCGAACGGCAGCACGGACUUCGGUCUGGUGGCGAGUGGCGAACGGGUGAGUAAUGUAUCGGAACGUGCCUAGUAGCGGGGGAUAACUACGCGAAAGCGUAGCUAUUACAUACGCCCUUCGAGGAAAAGCGGGGGACCUUCGGGCCUCACUAUUAGAGCGGCCGAUAUCGGAUUAGCUAGUUGGUGGGGUAACGGCUCACCAAGGCGACGAUCCGUAGCUGGUUUGAGGACGACCAACCACACUGGGACUGAGACCUGGCCCAGACUCCUGCAGGGAGGCAGCAGUGGGUACGGACAAUGGGGAAACCCUGAUCCAGCCAUCCCGCGUGUGCGAUGAAGGCCUUCGGGUUGUAGCACUUUUGGCAGGAAAGAAACGGCACGGGAUAAUACCCGUUACGCUGACCGUACCUGCAGAAUAAGCACCGGCUAACUACGUGCCAGCAGCCGCGGUAAUACGUAAGUGCAAGCGUUAAUCGAAUUACUGGGCGUAAAGCGUGCGCAGGCGGUUCGGAAGAAGAUGUGAAAUCCCAGAGCUUAACUUUGGAACUGCAUUUUUAACUACGAGCUAGAGUGUGUCAGAGGAAGGUGGAAUUCCGCGAUGUAGCAGUGAAAUGCGUAGAUAUGCGGAGGAACACCGAUGGCGAAGGCAACCUCCUGGGAUAACACUGACGCUCAUGCACGAAAAGCGUGGGGAGCAAACGAGUUAGAUACCCUGGUAGUCCACGCCCUAAACGAUGUCAACUAGCUGUUGGGGCCUUCGGGCGCUGGUAACAGCCUAACGCGUGAAGUUGACCGCCUGGGGAAUUACGGUCGCAAGAUUAAAACUCAAGGAAUUGACGGGGACCCGCACAAGCGGUGGAUGAUGUGGAUUAAUUCGAUGCAACGCGAAAAACCUUACCUACCCUUGACAUGUCUGGAAUCCCGAAGAGAUUUGGGAGUGCUCGCAAAGAACCGGAACACAGGUGCUGCAUGGCUGUCGUCAGCUCGUGUCGUGAGAUGUUGGGUUAAGUCCCGCAACGAGCUGGCCCUUGUCGUGGUUGCUGAAAGGGCACUCUAAUGAGACUGCCGGUGACAAACCGGAGGAAGGUGGGGAUGACGUCAAGUCCUCAUGGCCCUUAUGGGUAGGGCUUCACACGUCAUACAAUGGUCGGGACAAGAGGUCGCCAACCCGCGAGGGGGAGCCAAUCCCAGAAACCCGAUCGUGAGCCGGAUCGCAGUCUGCAACUCAUUUGCGUGAAGUCAGAAUCGCUAGUAAUCGCGGAUCAGCAUGUCGCGGUGAAUACGUUCCCGGGUCUUGUACACACCGCCCGUCACACCAUGGGAGUGGGUCUCGCCAGAAGUAGGUAGCCUAACCGUAUAAGGGAGGGCGCUUACCACGGCGGGGUUCGUGACUGGGGUGAAGUCGUAACAAGGUAA
rnacentral:rRNA from 1 species